AGCCUGAUAAGUCUGGUCAUUUUUUCAUUUGACAGAGUAGUCAAGUCGUUCAAGUCACUCCUACUAUGUGCAAAUAUCCUCAGAGUCCUGCGGCUGCCCUUGGUUUGACAGCAGCUCUGUCUCUUUUGCUUGCUUAGAUAUUAAUAAAUGUUUCGACGGGGUGCAUUUGCUGCACGAGGGGUCCUCGGCCUCCCGCUUCUAAAUGGAGAACAGCCGUUGUCUGCUUCGUCGUUUCGUGGUUUACAUUUGUGAUAGCGUUUCUCCUGUUGAUAACCGGUGCUGCACUGAACGGUGGAAGGAACGAACAAAGCAGCUAUUUCGAUUACUACUAUUGCUAUGUUCUGAAACCAGGAGUUUUUGCUGUUGCCACCGUUGUGGGUGCUGCAAGUUUAGCGCUGGGAUUGUUCUACUACCUCAUAUUGAACUCUGCAAAGAAUGACCCUGCUGUGUGGGGCAAUCCUUCCAUUCCUCCUCCAGCAAACAUUGCAAUGGCAUAGCCCCAAUUCCCGCCCCCUCCCCCGCCUCAACCGACAACUGCAGACCCCGUAUUCGUUCAUGAAGACACGUACACGAGACGACAGUUCACGUGAUCGGUCAGCGUCGGUUGAUAUAAAAUGUGGUCAAGAAAACCAUACAACUUAUACGACUUGAUUGAUGUUGGCUUUAUAGGAAGUAGCUGUUGUGGACUAGUAUAGAAGAACUGAAUUGAAUUUUUUACUUCCCUUUGAUCCAUGGGAAAUAAAUAAACUGUAAUUGAACAAUAAGUUAGAUUGAAAAUAUUUUGAUAUUUGUUUAUAGUAAAAUACAAUUUUA